rnacentral:rRNA from 1 species
AUUGAACGCUGGCGGCAGGCCUAACACAUGCAAGUCGAGCGGAGCGGCGGACGGGUGAGUAAUGCCUAGGAAUCUGCCUGGUAGUGGGGGAUAACGUCCGGAAACGGGCGCUAAUACCGCAUACUCUCAGAUGAGCCUAGGUCGGAUUAGCUCGUUGGUUGGGUAAAGUCCUACCAAGGCAACGUUCCGUAACUGGUCUGAGAGGAUGAUCAGGCACACUGGAACUGAGAAACUGUCCGGAGUCCUACGUGAGGCAGCAGUGGGGAAUAUUGGACAAUGGGCGAAAGCCGGAUACAGCAAUGCCGCGUGUGUGAAGAAGGUCUUCGGAUUGUAAAGCACUUUAAGUUGGGAGGCGUUACCAACAGAAUAAGCACCGGCUAACUUCGUGCCAGCAGCCGCGGUAAUUC